GGAGGUGUAGCUCAGUGAUAGAGUGCAUACCUGGCAUGCAUAAUGUCCUGGGUUUGAUCCCCAGUAUCUCCA
rnacentral:tRNA from 1 species